GUAAAUAUAGUUUAUUAAAACAUUAGACUGUGACUCUAAAAACAGAAGCUAUUAACUUCUUAUUUACC
rnacentral:tRNA from 1 species